rnacentral:ncRNA from 2 species
CUUGAGAGGUCAGGAGAGAGUUUUCAUCGCGAAAACCGCCGAAGGCGCACGAACACCAUGAGGGCACCCCUCGUGGUGUACUGAACGCUCAGGCAAAAGGACUGGCAACCGUUU